GCACCGGUGGUGUCCGGGACACACCGCCUUUGAAUAAGAAUUCUGUGGUUGAAUUCGGCGGAGUUGGGGUUCGACUCCCCGCUGGUGCA